rnacentral:rRNA from 1 species
UUCCAGACUCCUACGGGAGGCAGCAGUAGGGAAUUUUGCGCAAUGGGCGAAAGCCUGACGCAGCAACGCCGCGUGAUCGAGACGCCCUUCGGGGUGUAAAGAUCUGUCAGUGGGGACGAAACUUGACGGUACCCACAGAGGAAGCACCGGCUAACUCCGUGCCAGCAGCCGCGGUAAUACGUAGGUGGCAAGCGUUAUCCGGAUUUACUGGGUGUAAAGGGCGUGUAGGCGGGGACGCAAGUCAGAUGUGAAAACCACGGGCUCAACCUGUGGCCUGCAUUUGAAACUGUGUUUCUUGAGUACUGGAGAGGCAGACGGAAUUCCUAGUGUAGCGGUGAAAUGCGUAGAUAUUAGGAGGAACACCAGUGGCGAAGGCGGCUUGCUGGACCGUAACUGACGUUGAGGCUCGAAAGCGUGGGGAGCAAACAGGAUUAGAUACCCCCGUAC